GGAUCACGCCGCGUGAGUGAAGAAGGUUUCGGAUCGUAAAACUCUGUUGUUAGGGAAGAACAAGUGCGUUCGAAUAGGGCGGCGCCUUGACGGUACCUAACCAGAAAGCCACGGCUAACUACGUGCCAGCAGCCGCGGUAAUACGUAGGUGGCAAGCGUUGUCCGGAAUUAUUGGGCGUAAAGCGCGCGCAGGUGGUUUCUUAAGCUCUGAUGUGAAAGCCCACGGCUCAACCGUGCGAGGGUCAUUGGAAACUGGGGAACUUGAGUGCAGAAGAGGAACGUGGAAUUCCAAGUGUAGCGGUGAAAUGCGUAGAUAUUCGGAGGAACACCAGUGGCGACAGGCGACUUUCUGGUCUGUCACUGACACUGAGGCGCGAAAGCGUGGGGAGCAAACCACGGAUUAGAUACCCUGGUAGUCCACGCCGUAGACGAUGAGUGCUAAGUG
rnacentral:rRNA from 1 species